CCCCAAGCUCCAAAUUCUUCAAUCAGGCACUUAACCUUUCUCUUUCGCUUUCCCUUUAUUUGUUCAGCACUAGCAUCUUUUUUCUUGACUUUGAUAGAGUUUUCUUAUUCUUGUUGAAUGAAGCUAAUAGAAAGGAAUUAGAAGAGGAAAAAGUUAGGACCUUGAUGCAGAAAAUGGAGCUUCUUGGGAUUAAAUGUGAUGAUUCUUUCGUACCUGGAAAUUUUAGUCUUUUAUUCUGUCCAAAGGUAACUCAUUUUCUUCAUAUCGCUAGGAGCCUAUUACCCGAAGCUCUCAAGGUGAUGCGUUU
rnacentral:lncRNA from 1 species